GAUGAACGCUGGCGGCGUGCCUAAUACAUGCAAGUCGAGCGAACGGACGAGAAGCUUGCUUCUCUGAUGUUAGCGGCGGACGGGUGAGUAACACGUGGAUAACCUACCUAUAAGACUGGGAUAACUUCGGGAAACCGGAGCUAAUACCGGAUAAUAUUUUGAACCGCAUGGUUCAAAAGUGAAAGACGGUCUUGCUGUCACUUAUAGAUGGAUCCGCGCUGCAUUAGCUAGUUGGUAAGGUAACGGCUUACCAAGGCAACGAUGCAUAGCCGACCUGAGAGGGUGAUCGGCCACACUGGAACUGAGACACGGUCCAGACUCCUACGGGAGGCAGCAGUAGGGAAUCUUCCGCAAUGGGCGAAAGCCUGACGGAGCAACGCCGCGUGAGUGAUGAAGGUCUUCGGAUCGUAAAACUCUGUUAUUAGGGAAGAACAUAUGUGUAAGUAACUGCGCACAUCUUGACGGUACCUAAUCAGAAAGCCACGGCUAACUACGUGCCAGCAGCCGCGGUAAUACGUAGGUGGCAAGCGUUAUCCGGAAUUAUUGGGCGUAAAGCGCGCGUAGGCGGUUUUUUAAGUCUGAUGUGAAAGCCCACGGCUCAACCGUGGAGGGUCAUUGGAAACUGGAAAACUUGAGUGCAGAAGAGGAAAGUGGAAUUCCAUGUGUAGCGGUGAAAUGCGCAGAGAUAUGGAGGAACACCAGUGGCGAAGGCGACUUUCUGGUCUGUAACUGACGCUGAUGUGCGAAAGCGUGGGGAUCAAACAGGAUUAGAUACCCUGGUAGUCCACGCCGUAAACGAUGAGUGCUAAGUGUUAGGGGGUUUCCGCCCCUUAGUGCUGCAGCUAACGCAUUAAGCACUCCGCCUGGGGAGUACGACCGCAAGGUUGAAACUCAAAGGAAUUGACGGGGACCCGCACAAGCGGUGGAGCAUGUGGUUUAAUUCGAAGCAACGCGAAGAACCUUACCAAAUCUUGACAUCCUUUGACAACUCUAGAGAUAGAGCCUUCCCCUUCGGGGGACAAAGUGACAGGUGGUGCAUGGUUGUCGUCAGCUCGUGUCGUGAGAUGUUGGGUUAAGUCCCGCAACGAGCGCAACCCUUAAGCUUAGUUGCCAUCAUUAAGUUGGGCACUCUAAGUUGACUGCCGGUGACAAACCGGAGGAAGGUGGGGAUGACGUCAAAUCAUCAUGCCCCUUAUGAUUUGGGCUACACACGUGCUACAAUGGACAAUACAAAGGGCAGCGAAACCGCGAGGUCAAGCAAAUCCCAUAAAGUUGUUCUCAGUUCGGAUUGUAGUCUGCAACUCGACUACAUGAAGCUGGAAUCGCUAGUAAUCGUAGAUCAGCAUGCUACGGUGAAUACGUUCUCGGGUCU
rnacentral:rRNA from 1 species